rnacentral:rRNA from 1 species
UACAGAGGUCUCAAGCGUUGUUCGGAUUCAUUUGGGCGUAAAGGGUGCGUAGGUGGCGUCGUAAGUCGGGUGUGAAAUUUCGGAGCUUAACUCCGAAACUGCAUUCGAUACUGCCGGUGCUUGAGGACUGGAGAGGAGACUGGAAUUUACGGUGUAGCGGUGAAAUGCGUAGAUAUCGUAAGGAAGACCAGUGGCGAAGGCGGGUCGUCUGGACG